rnacentral:rRNA from 1 species
UGAAUUUCGGGGUCAGUGGGCUGGUCGUGCCACUGGUAUGCACUUUGACAGUUGCCAUUCACCUCUUGAUGAGCCGUAAUGCCAUUAAUUUGGUGUUGCGGGGAAUCAGGACUGUUACUUUGAAAAAAUUAGAGUGUUUAAAGCAGGCAAGCGCUUGAAUACAUUAGCAUGGAAUAAUGAAAUAGGACGUUUGAUCCUAUUUUGUUGGUUUCUAGGAUUGACGUAAUGAUUAAUAGGGAUAGUUGGGGGCAUUAGUAUUCAAUUGUCAGAGGUGAAAUUCUUGGAUUUAUUGAAGACUAACUACUGCGAAAGCAUUUGCCAAGGAUAUUUUCAUUAAUCAAGAACGAAAGUUAGGGGAUCGAAGACGAUCAGAUACC